CUGAUGUGUUCACAGUAUCAAUGAUGAUGAAUGAUUCAUGUCCACACACAGAGGUGUUCAUUUUAAAUGUCUAUUUAUUUGUCAAAAUGAGGUAUUUUCGAAGUGCUAUGAGUUGGAGCACUACAUGUAAAUUAUAUGAAUGAAAGAACAAACAUCUUAUAUCCGUUCACCCAGAAAGUUCUAUGCACCCGACAGUUACAAAUAUAUAAACAAAUGAAGAGUGAAACAGGAAGGACAGGGUCAGGUACAUAAGGACAGGGUCAGGUACAUAAGGACAGGGUCAGGUACAUAAGGACAGGGUCAGGUACAUGAGGACAGGGUCAGGUACAUAAGGACAGGGUCAGGUACAUGAGGACAGGGUCAGGUACAUGAGGACAGGGUCAGGUACAUGAGGACAGGGUCAGGUACAUAAGGACAGGGUCAGGUACAUGAGGACAGGGUCAGGUACAUGAGGACAGGGUCAGGUACAUGAGGACAGGGUCAGGUACAUGAGGACAGGGUCAGGUACAUAAGGACAGGGUCAGGUACAUGAGGACAGGGUCAGGUACAUGAGGACAGGGUCAGGUACAUAAGGACAGGGUCAGGUACAUGAGGAUAGAGAGGAAAAAGAAAUUAUGAGAUAAAGAGAUAUCUAGUGAGAACUCAUUUUCUUACGAAAAUAUAAGUAUCAAAUGUAAUAUGUAUCACAGUCACACUAAAGAGUAAUAAAGCUGUGUAGAAUUAGAACCAUGGUACAAUACAAAGUAGGAGAAAAAAAAAAAAAGUUGUUAUAUUACAAAGUGUCAUUGCCCUUGAGGCAUUGCAGUAUUUUCUUUAUAAAGUUUCCAGUCUAGUUAUUGGCAGCUUUGGGACAUAAAAUGUAUAAAAACUCAAAGAUAAAAAUGUAUAUAAAACAAGGCAGAUUCUGAGUGUAUUUGUCUGUUAUUUACAGUACUGUUAUUUACAAAAGUGUCGGCUAGCAAGGUGCACAUUAUA